rnacentral:rRNA from 1 species
UACGGAGGGUGCAAGCGUUGUUCGGAAUUAUUGGGCGUAAAGCGCGUGUAGGCGGCUAUCUAAGUCUGGUGUGAAAGCCCUGGGCUCAACCCGGGAAGUGCACUGGAUACUGGAUAGCUAGAGGACGAGAGAGGAGAGUGGAAUUCCUGGUGUAGGGGUGAAAUCCGUAGAUAUCAGGAGGAACAUCAGUGGCGAAGGCGGCUCUCUGGCUCGUAUCUGACGCUGAAACGCGAAAGCGUGGGGAGCAAACAGG